AGUUCGUGGAGUGAUCUGUUUACUUAAUUGUGUUUCCCAUCAUGGCACGUACUUACUUAUUUCAUUUUUACCGCUAUAUUAAUUUAUAUGUAAUCGAUUUAUUGUAUCACGUCGCCUAGGGAAUGCAACGAACGUGACUGUACUUACCUAUUACGCGUGGGAAGCCAUCCCACAGCUGAAUUUGAAAGACCGCUGCAUUUUCUCAAGGCAGAGGAAGGAUACAGCAAUAACAGG
rnacentral:rRNA from 1 species